rnacentral:rRNA from 1 species
CCGAGUUUACAACUCCCAAACCCAAUGUGAACGUUACCAAACUGUUGCCUCGGCGGGAUCUCUGCCCCGGGUGCGUCGCAGCCCCGGACCAAGGCGCCCGCCGGAGGACCAACCAAAACUCUUUUUGUAUACCCCCUCGCGGGUUUUUUAUAAUCUGAGCCUUCUCGGCGCCUCUCGUAGGCGUUUCGAAAAUGAAUCAAAACUUUCAACAACGGAUCUCUUGGUUCUGGCAUCGAUGAAGAACGCAGCGAAAUGCGAUAAGUAAUGUGAAUUGCAGAAUUCAGUGAAUCAUCGAAUCUUUGAACGCACAUUGCGCCCGCCAGUAUUCUGGCGGGCAUGCCUGUCCGAGCGUCAUUUCAACCCUCGAACCCCUCCGGGGGGUCGGCGUUGGGGAUCGGCCCUGCCUCUUGGCGGUGGCCGUCUCCGAAAUACAGUGGCGGUCUCGCCGCAGCCUCUCCUGCGCAGUAGUUUGCACACUCGCAUCGGGAGCGCGGCGCGUCCACAGCCGUUAAACACCCAACUUCUGAAAUGUUGACCUCGGAUCAGGUAGGAAUACCCGCUGAACUUAAGCAUAUCAAAAGCCGGAGGAA